rnacentral:rRNA from 1 species
CCAAUAGCGUAUAUUAAAGUUGUUGCAGUUAAAAAGCUCGUAGUUGAAUUUCGAGACCGGCUUAUUGGUCGUGCUUUUGUACGUACUGGUAUAAUCGGUUUCUCCUUUCUGACGAACUAUAAUGCCAUUAAUUUGGUGUUAUAGGGAAUCAGGACUGUUACUUUGAAAAAAUUAGAGUGUUUAAAGCAGGCUCACGCUUGAAUACAUUAGCAUGGAAUAACGGAAUAGGACGUUUGAUUCUAUUUUGUUGGUUUCUAGGAUCGACGUAAUGAUUAAUAGGGAUAGUUGGGGGGAUUAGUAUUCAAUUGUCAGAGGUGAAAUUCUUGGAUUUAUUGAAGACUAACUACUGCGAAAGCAUUUGCCAAGGAUGUUUUCAUUAAUCAAGAACGAAAGUUAGGGGAUCGAAGACGAUCAGAUACCGUCGUAGUCUUAACCAUAAACUAUGCCGACUAGGGAUCGGAUGAUGUUAAUUUUUUAAUGACUCAUUCGGCGCCUUACG